UACGUAGGGGGCAAGCGUUGUCCGGAUUUAUUGGGCGUAAAGAGCGUGUAGGCGGCCAGACAGGUCCGUUGUGAAAACUGGAGGCUUAACCUUCAGACGUCGAUGGAAACCGUCUGGCUAGAGUCCGGAAGAGGAGAGUGGAAUUCCUGGUGGUAGCGGUGAAAUGCGCAGGAUAUCAGGAAGAACACCCGUGGCUAAGGCGGCUCUCUAGUACGGUACUG
rnacentral:rRNA from 1 species